CCUACGGGGGGCAGCAGUGGGGAAUAUUGGACAAUGGGCGAAAGCCUGAUCCAGCCAUGCCGCGUGUGUGAAGAAGGCCUUCGGGUUGUAAAGCACUUUCAGUGGGGAAGAAAGCCUUGGGGCUAAUACCCUCGAGGAAGGACAUCACCCACAGAAGAAGCACCGGCUAACUCCGUGCCAGCAGCCGCGGUAAUACGGAGGGUGCGAGCGUUAAUCGGAAUUACUGGGCGUAAAGCGCGCGUAGGCGGUCUGAUAAGCCGGUUGUGAAAGCCCCGGGCUCAACCUGGGAACGGCAUCCGGAACUGUCAGGCUAGAGUGCAGGAGAGGAAGGUAGAAUUCCCGGUGUAGCGGUGAAAGGCGUAGAGAUCGGGAGGAAUACCAGUGGCGAAGGCGGUCUUCUGGACUGACACUGACGCUGAGGUGCGAAAGCGUGGGUAGCAAACAGGAUUAGAUACCCCAGUAGUC
rnacentral:rRNA from 1 species